CCUACGGGAGGCUGCAGUGGGGAAUAUUGGACAAUGGGGGGAACCCUGAUCCAGCGACGCCGCGUGAGUGAAGAAGUAUUUAGGUAUGUAAAGCUCUAUCAGCAGGGAAGAAAAUGACGGUACCUGAAUAAGAAGCCCCGGCUAACCAAGUGCCAGCAGCCGCGGUAAUACGGAGGGGUCAAGCGUUAUCCGGAUUUACUGGGGUUAAAGGGAGAGUAAACGGUGCAGCAAGUCUGAUGGGAAAGGUCGGGGCCCAAACCUGGGACAGCAUUUGAAACUGUUGAACUGGAGUACAGGAGAGGUAAGCGGAAUUCGUAGUGUAGCGGUGAAAUGCAUAGAUAUUACGAGGAACACCAGUGGCGAAGGCAGCUUACUGGACUGUAACUGACGUUGAGGCUCGAAAGCGUGGGGAGCAAACAGGAUUAGAUACCCGGGUAGUC
rnacentral:rRNA from 1 species